UACGAGGGGGGCAAGCGUUGUUCGGAUUUAUUGGGCGUAAAGGGUGCGUAGGCGGUUUGGCAAGUCUGAUGUGAAAUCUAUGGGCUCAACCCAUAGUCUGCAUCAGAAACUGCCGGGCUUGAGUAUGGGAGAGGUGAGUGGAAUUUCCGGUGUAGCGGUGAAAUGCGUAGAUAUCGGAAGGAACACCUGUGGCGAAAGCGGCUCACUGGACCACAACUGACGCUGAGGCGCGAAAGCUAGGGGAGCAAACAGG
rnacentral:rRNA from 1 species